rnacentral:rRNA from 3 species
AGCAGCCGCGGUAAUUCCAGCUCCAAUAGCGUAUAUUAAAGUUGUUGCAGUUAAAAAGCUCGUAGUUGAAUUUCGGGGUUAGCAGGUCGGUCGUGCCAUCGGUAUGAACUGGUCUCGCUGAUCCCUCCCUCUUGACGAACUGUGAUGCCAUUAAUUUGGUGUCGCAGGGAAUCAGGACUGUUACUUUGAAAAAAUUAGAGUGUUUAAAGCAGGCUCACGCUUGAAUACAUUAGCAUGGAAUAAUGAAAUAGGACGUUUGAUCCUAUUUUGUUGGCUUCUAGGAUUGACGUAAUGAUUAAUAGGGAUAGUUGGGGGCAUUAGUAUUCAAUUGUCAGAGGUGAAAUUCUUGGAUUUAUUGAAGACUAACUACUGCGAAAGCAUUUGCCAAGGAUGUUUUCAUUAAUCAAGAACGAAAGUUAGGGGAUCGAAGACGAUCAGAUACCGUCGUAGUCUUAACCAUAAACUAUGCCGACUAGGGAUCGGAUGAUGUUAAUUUUUUAAUGACUCAUUCGGCGCCUUACG